AGAGUUUGAUCAUGGCUCAGGACGAACGCUGGCGGUGCGCCUUAUGCAUGCAAGUUGAGCGAAGCUUUUUGGUAGUUUACUACUAGAAAUGACUGAGCGGCGAACGGGUGAGUAACGCGUGAGCAAUCUACCUUAGUUACUGGGAUAGCCCGAGGAAACUCGGAUUAAUACCGGAUAUUCUUAUUUUUUCACAUGAAGUUUUAAGGAAAGGUCAGCCGAACUAAGAUGAGCUCGCGUUCUAUCAGCUAGUUGGUGGGGUAAAAGCCUACCAAGGCUACGACGGAUAGCUGGUCUGAGAGGACGAUCAGCCACACUGGGACUGAGACACGGCCCAGACUCCUACGGGAGGCUGCAGCAGGGAAUAUUGUGCAAUGAGCGAAAGCUUGACACAGCGACACCGCGUGUGGGAUGACGGUUCUAGGAUUGUAAACCACUUUCAGGAGGGAAGAAAA
rnacentral:rRNA from 1 species